rnacentral:rRNA from 1 species
CCUACGGGCGGCUGCAGUGGGGAAUAUUGGACAAUGGGGGGAACCCUGAUCCAGCCAUGCCGCGUGUGUGAAGAAGGCCCUCGGGUUGUAAAGCACUUUCAGUGAGGAAGAACGCCUGGUGGUUAAUACCCAUCAGGAAAGACAUCACUCACAGAAGAAGCACCGGCUAACUCCAUGCCAGCAGCCGCGGUAAUACGGAGGGUGCGAGCGUUAAUCGGAAUUACUGGGCGUAAAGCGCGCGUAGGUGGCUUGAUAAGCCGGUUGUGAAAGCCCCGGGCUCAACCUGGGAACGGCAUCCGGAACUGUCAAGCUAGAGUGCAGGAGAGGAAGGUAGAAUUCCCGGUGUAGCGGUGAAAUGCGUAGAGAUCGGGAGGAAUACCAGUGGCGAAGGCGGCCUUCUGGACUGACACUGACACUGAGGUGCGAAAGCGUGGGUAGCAAACAGGAUUAGAUACCCCUGUAGUC